GGAGGAGUGUUUGGAAAACUCUGCCCCUAUCGUGAAAGCUCUCUUUCCCUCCCCCACAAAGAGGCUCCCUUAUCUCUCACUCUACAAACCGCUCUGGCCCUCCUGCCUGGCCGCAGCCACCUCCCGCCCGGCAACCGGCUGACCAAUCACCGCCUGCCUCAUCAGCACUCCCCAGCUUCCCGCCGCCCGGCCUUCUGCCGCCCGGCUUCCCCGCCUGGCAUUUCAAACUGACCAACCGUUGCCCACCACCUCGGCUCUCCCGGCCUUCCCACUCCCUCGGCCCUUCAGCCCCCUAUAAAAGAACCCUGCUCCUCUGAGCACACGCGGCCAUUUUCCUCUUCUUCCUGGCUGGCCCGCCCGGAGGCUCUUUCCUCUCAAUAAAGCCUGAACCUAAGACUUUCUUCUAACCUGCGGCCCGGUUUUUUUCUGAACGAGCUCUGUCUUCCCGUAGAGGGUAGGUCGGACAAGUGGUGCCGAAACCCAGGAGCUGGGGCUGUUGGCCAUGCCACGGCCCCCUCCCCCGACCUACCCAACAUUGGCCCUGCCACCUCUACGCUCCAAUUAAGGCCGCCAUCGACAAUUCUGCAGAAUCUUUAGCCUCUCUCCAAAGACAGAUCACCUCAGUGGCUCAAGUCGCCCUACAAAAUCGCCGGGCGUUAGACCUCCUCACCGCCGAGCGAGGAAGAACCUGCAUCUUCCUACAAGAAGAGUGCUGCUACUACAUCAAUGAAUCCGGCCUAGUAGAAACCCGAAUCGAGAACCUCCAGAAACUCAAAACUAACCUGCAGAAUCAAAAAUUCUCGGCUGAAGCCACGGCGUGGUGGUCUUCUUCUAUGUAUACCCUCUUGUCCCCGUUGCUUGGGCCCCUAAUAGCCGUUUGCCUAAUCUUACUUAUUGCUCCUUGUUUUCUACAGUUCCUACAGCGGCGCUUUCAAGAACUAACUUGAGUCACCAUCCACCAGAUGCUGCUCCAACCUUACCCUGAACGAGUGCUAGAAGCGGACCUCUCCCCGAACAUCCAGGCUCCUUAGGAAAAGAAACAUCUUCAGAACCCCCCCCGUCGACCCUUGUCAGCAGGAAGUAGCCAGAGAGACAACCGACGCCCCUGACCCCCUCUCUUUUUCUUUUCUUUUAAGGAGUCGGGAAUGUUUGGAAAACUCUGCCCCUAUUGUGAAAGCUCUCUUUCCCUCCCCCACAAAGAGGCUCCCUUAUCUCUCACUCUACAUACCGCUCUGGCCCUCCCGCCCGGCAACCAGCUGACCAAUCACCGCCUGCCUCAUCAGCACUUCCCAGCUUCCCGCCGCCCGGCUUCCCCGCCUGGCAUUUCAAACUGACCAACCGUUGCCCACCACCUCGGCUCUCCCGGCCUUCCCACUCCCUCAGCCCUUCAGCCCCCUAUAAAAGAACCCUGCUCCUCUGAGCACACGCGGCCAUUUUCCUCUUCUUCCCGGCUGGCCCGCCCAGAGGCUCUUUCCUCUCAAUAAAGCCUGAACCUAAGACUUUCUUCUAA